rnacentral:pre_miRNA from 1 species
GUAGUAUUCCCUCCGUCCCAAAAUUCUUGUCUUACAUUUGUUUAGAUACGGAUGUAUCUAACACUAAAAUGUAACUAGAUACAUCCGUAUUUAGACAAAUUUAAGACAAGAAUUUUGGGACGGCGGGAGUACAAA